rnacentral:lncRNA from 1 species
CAGCAACUUGUAUCCCCUGGCAGUUGACAUGCUAAUUUCUUCGCCUGCUCUCUCUCCCGCUCACUCCACCCCGCUUCACCAACCCCCUUCCACUCAAGACACGAGGCACCCCCUGGGCCACGGAUGGUGCCUUGCGGGGAGUGAAGAGACGCCGGAAGAGCUAGGGCAGAGCGCGCGGUGCCCACACCUUUGGCCGCGGGGUGAGUGCGGGAGGCCGCCGCUGGCCUGGGAAGAGGGGAGCGGGUUAGGAGCGCGGGGUCGGAGCGGAACCCCUGCACCCCCCCUCCUCCCAGGACUAGGGAUCUGCCGCUAGAGGCGGGGGCCCAAAGCCCCCCGCUGGGCCCGGGCGAGGAUGGGCGGGCAGGAGGCGGAGCGCAGCGCGGCGCUGCGCUGGGCGGCGGGAAAGGGGCGGGGAGGACAGCUCAGGCUUAAGCGGGCAGAGGGACGGUGGCAGAACCUGCGGGCUAGGUGGGAGGCUCACCCACAGGGAGGAAGGGAAGCGAGGACCGCCGCUGCUGAGGAGCGAGGAGACGCUUGGAGUCCAGGGGUCAGGCCGCUGCCACCUCCUCCUGCAGCGGAGACAGCACAGCCAGCGGGCGCACUGGCCGCAACGGCAACCCUCCGCGCAGGUGGGCACCCCCGAGCGCGGCGCUCUGCCCCUUCUCGGACCGCCGCGGGCCGGAUGCCCUCCUUUCCAGGCCACUGAGUUCGGGGGCGAGGGCUGGGCAGGUCUGGGGGUAGGAGGAAUGUGCACGGCUCCUUGGUGUGCACGCUUGUGCGCGCGCGCUGUGCUAGGUGGGGAAGAGGUGCGGGAAAGCAGCCUCCCUCAGGAUUUACUCCCUCGGGUCUCGCUGUCCCCACCCCCACUCUCUUCUGACCAGCAGAGCUCUCGAGCGGCUUUAGAGAACUGCGACCCCCUCCCUCGUCCGCAAUCUCGGUGGUGUGUGCACUUCGCCCCCCUCUUCACAAUCCACACCCAGCAACCAUCAGGACGCCCCCUGCUCUGUAGGAACCUUGGGAGAAGAGAGAGUGGUGGCAAGACCAGCCAGGGUGUGUUCGGGGAAGGCAGGAGUUGCUGGAGUAUUGUCUGCCGGGGACGGUGCCUGAGCCCGCGCGCUCCCUCGCGCUUUCAGGGCCAGAGUUGGGGGCGGGGGGCGGGCGCGGGGGGUUUGCUGAACUUAUCUCCGAAGGCUGACUGUGCACAUGCACUUGGCGACUUGUGCACGUUUGGACGAGGACUUAAUGGAGGCACGUGGGAGCAGGAUCGGUCGCUGGCGGGCCCCCAAAGAGCCUCUUGGCUCUUGGGAUGGCCCAGCGCGUGUUCUGGGGUGGGAAGGAAGGGAGAGUGUGCGUGUGUGUGAAUGUCCGUCCUAGGGAGGAGAAGGAGGAGAGUGGCUCGAGGAGACUUGAUUUUCUUGGAUUUGCUGCCAGUCCGUAAACCAAACCAGGCUUUCGAGGCGCUAAAGUAAAUUACCGGUGGCAGUGUAGAAGCCAAAACGGGAGCUUCCAGAAGUGGUUUCUGAAAAAUAAGAGUGAAUAUACAUGAGUAAGCAAGCACAAGAAUCUGAAAAACCACAGUCCUUUGUUGUACUUUGGAGGGGAGAGAGUCCCGGGUCAGCUCACCCCGCCAUUUUGCUCCCUGACCGGAAAUAGGAUACUAAUUGAGAUGCAUUUGCAGAUGGAGAAACUGAGUCCCCAAAGUGUUUCAGCAUCCUUGAAGUUAUACAGAGAACUAAAGUAGCAUAUGGCUUAUCUAGGAGGUAAAGAUAAGAACAGCUUCUGCUUGAUUGGUGCCCUCUUGAAGAGAAAUACUUGGUGAGUAUUGACCUUCUGAUUACAUCACUUAUGAUUUUUUAAAAAAUGUUAAACUUGCAUUGAAAAAAUACAUAUGUUGCUUUUAAAAUGGAAGCUUUCAGCAGCAUUUAGAUCUAUCCAUAUGUUAUGGUUUAGGCCAAAUUAAGCAGCCAAUUUCAGAUCUGCUUUUUGGAAAGCUUCAGUAUAAAUUCACUCAAAGUUUCUGUCAAAUCACAGCUUGUAGAAGCCAUUUCCAAAUGGCCUGUUAUUUGCUGGUUAAAUUAAGGAUGCUUCUCUGAGGAAGAGGUCACGUGCUCCUAAUUCGGGCCCACCAUCCUUCCCUGGUACUCUCUGUGCUGUGCCUGCCUUUAACCCACCUCUGAAGCAUCAUGCUUCCUGGGUCGGGACUGCUUCCUUUUUGGUGCCCCUCUGUUCCCAUGUACCUGGGCUCCUGGAGGGCACAGGACCUAGGGUCUCAGGGCCAAAUGGAGGACCCCACCAGGCAGGUCUGUCCUCCCACUCACCACUGGAGAGUCAGAGUGAGUAGGUCACCUGGCUAGAAAGCUCCCCUGGGUUUCCGAUCUGCAGCCAGGGUAGAGGAUUCUUGUUGUAAUGAGUGAAGGACUUGUUUCUUUGGAAAGAAACUCAGAAAGUGACAUGGAUGAUACCAACCUCUACACAAGAUCCAUGUUUGAGGUCAAAGGAGAAUAUGGGAGAUUUUCUCAUACUCUCUCAUGGGUCUUCAUUUGAUGAACACCUGUUGUGUGCCAGGCUCUGAAACAGUAUGGCCACAUUUAAUCCUUACUGUGAUACUGUGAGGAAGAUAUUAUUAGCCUUAUUUUAGAUAUGCGGCCAGAAGAUACUUGAGAGGCUUUCAAGUCAUUUGUCCAAGAUCACAGAACUAGUAAACAAUAAAGGAUAUGCAUUAUCCUCACUUUUCUGACUUCACCAUACCAUAUCAAGAAAAAAAUAACGAAAUGGAUGGCUGGUUUGAUAUUUCCUUUCUUACUUGUCUAUCAGUAUGAAUAAGAAAACAGCGAUUUUUCAAGGCAUAUAUUUUUAGUUUUGCAGAAUUUUUGUCUAAUGACGUUGUAUAUUUAUUCAAAAACAUUUUUUGAGGUCCCACUAUGUGCCAGAUUCUGUACUAGGCGCUCUGCAUACAGCAGUGAAUGUAUAUAAAAAUAAGUGUUAUUUUUAUCAAGUCCUAAGAUAAAACUGGAAGCUUUUUCUGUACAUAUUUCAUCUUGUCCUUUCUUAACUAUCAAGGCAUUGAAACAUAGAGCCCAAGAUUAAUGGUUGUCAUUUUUCCAUUGAUUCACAGAAUUACUGAACUAACAGGGUACUUCUGAGGUUACUUAGCCAGCUCCUGAAGUCUGGGGGAGAUGUGAACUAAACCAUUCUAUUAUUAAUAAUUUUCAAGGAGAGAGAUUCCAUUAAGCCUUUGUGGUAGCUGCUGUUUUAGACUCUUACACCCUGUUGUAAUGAUGAUAAAUUAUUUCUGCC